GACGAACGCUGGCGGCGUGCUUAACACAUGCAAGUCGAACGGAAAGGCCCUGCUUGCAGGGUACUCGAGUGGCGAACGGGUGAGUAACACGUGGGUGAUCUGCCCUGCACUUCGGGAUAAGCCUGGGAAACUGGGUCUAAUACCGGAUAGGAGCCAUUUUUAGUGUGAUGGUUGGAAAGUUUUUUCGGUGUAGGAUGAGCUCGCGGCCUAUCAGCUUGUUGGUGGGGUAAUGGCCUACCAAGGCGGCGACGGGUAGCCGGCCUGAGAGGGUGGACGGCCACAUUGGGACUGAGAUACGGCCCAGACUCCGACGGGAGGCAGCAGUGGGGAAUAUUGCACAAUGGGCGCAAGCCUGAUGCAGCGACGCCGCGGGGGGGAUGACGGCCUUCGGGUUGGAAACUCAUUUCGCUAGGGACGAAGCUUUUUGUGACGGUACCUAGAGAAGAAGCACCGGCUAACUACGUG
rnacentral:rRNA from 1 species